rnacentral:rRNA from 1 species
AUUGAACGCUGGCGGCAGGCCUAACACAUGCAAGUCGACCGGAUGAAGGGAGCUUGCCCCUGGAUUCAGCGGCGGACGGGUGAGUAAUGCCUAGGAAUCUGCCUGGUAGUGGGGGAUAACGUCCGGAAACGGGCGCUAAUACCGCAUACGUCCUGAGGGAGAAAGUGGGGGAUCUUCGGACCUCACGCUAUCAGAUGAGCCUAGGUCGGAUUAGCUAGUUGGUGGGGUAAAGGCCUACCAAGGCGACGAUCCGUAACUGGUCUGAGAGGAUGAUCAGUCACACUGGAACUGAGACACGGUCCAGACUCCUACGGGAGGCAGCAGUGGGGAAUAUUGGACAAUGGGCGAAAGCCUGAUCCAGCCACGCCGCGUGUGUGAAGAAGGUCUUCGGAUUGUAAAGCACUUUAAGUUGGGAGGAAGGGCAGUAAGUUAAUACCUUGCUGUUUUGACGUUACCAACAGAAUAAGCACCGGCUAACUUCGUG